GUCACCGCCAAUUUUACCUAUCAGGAAGACGACGCGGGGGCCCAGUGCUUUGUACAACAAAGGCUUUUGUAGAGUUUAAAUAACUCUGAGAAUAAGGGCUGGGUAAGGCUGGUGCCAGCCUCCGCGGUAAAACCAGCAGCUCUAGUGGUACUCGCGAUUAUUGGGCUUAAAGCGUACGUAGUCGGUUCGGCAAGUUCCCUGUGAAAUCCUGUGACUCAAAUUACAGGGCUUGCGGGGAAUACUACCGAGCUUGGAACCGGGAUAGGUCAGGGGUAUUCCUUGGGUAGCGGUGAAAUGCUAUAAUCCAGGGAAGACCACCAAUAGCGAAGGCACCUGUCUGGAACGGGUUCGACGAUGAGGAACGAAAGCUAGGGGAGCAAACGGGAUUAGAUACCCCGGUAGUCCUAGCCGUAAACGAUGCAGACUAAGUGUUUCUCGAACUUUGUGUUCGGGAAGCGUUGAAGGGAAACCGUUAAGUCUGCCGUCUGGGGAGUACGGUCGCAAGGCUGAAACUUAAAGGAAUUGGCGGGGGAGCACCACAAGGGGUGGAGUCUGCGGUUUAAUUGGAUACAACGCCGGGAAACUUACCAGGGGCGACGGCAGUAUGAUGGCCAGGCUGAUGGUCUUGCCGGACAAGCCGAGAGGUAGUGCAUGGCCGCCGUCAGCUCGUACCGUAAGGCGUGCGGUUAAGUCCGUUAACGAGCGAGACCCGUGCCUUUAUUUGCAAGCCUCCUCGAUGGAGGGGGUGCACUAUAAAGGGACCGCUGGCGAUGAGCCAGAGGAAGGUGCGGUCGACGAUAGGUCUGUAUGCUCCGAAUCUCCUGGGUUACACGUGGACUACCAUGACGCAACAAUGGGUGCAAUCCGAAAGGAGAGACGCUAAUCCCCUAAAUUGCGCCUUAGUUCGGAUUGAGGGUUGUCACCUACCCUCAUGAAGAUGAAUCCCUAUAAUCGUUGCUCAUCCGCGUGAA
rnacentral:rRNA from 1 species